CCAGACCCCUUCAAGGGCUUACUAACAAGGGGACACACUUGUCAAACAGCUUUCCCCAAACUUUGCAAGCAGAGACGGAGCUGGAGUAAAAGGGCAAGUGACAAGGGCAAUGAGGCACAGAGCCGUGGGGACACCUCCCUGAGUUCACACAGCUGGUAAGUGCUCAGUGAACCUAAGACUGCUCUAAGAAAUCAAGUCUUUGGAAAAUGUAUGGGAAGAGAAUAAUAUCAGCCCUAAAUGUCUCUCCGGCAUCAUUUACAAGAGUGAAAUUUUAGAAAUAAGCCCCAAAUCCAUCAAUAGAAGACUACAUGAAUGAAGUGGUAAAUGUAAAUAAAACAUAUACAGGCCACUUCCUGUGCUGGAGCACUGUGCGUUUACUAUAGAGAAGAAGGUCGAGCUGUGUGCACAAAUACGGA
rnacentral:lncRNA from 1 species